CACAAAUCAAACCACUUCUCUCUUCUCUUAGUCUGAGCAGCAAAUCAUGGAGAACAAGGCUUUGUUGGUGUUGUUUUUGGCGCUCGCCAUGUUUGUGAUGAUGCUGGCCAUGGGCGUGGACGUGGGAGGAAUCGCAAAGGCUGCUGCCCAGCGCUGCCAGUCGGGGUGGUAUUGGUAUGACAACGGUUGCCACCGUUGCCAGAGGGGUUGGAGCUGGCGCAACAAUCGCUGCUGGCGCAACUGAAACCUCUCGUUUCACGGGUGCCAAGAAAGAAUAAAGACACUGAUAACGUGUUUUCUGAUCGUGAUGAGUUCCAGCAAUAAUAAAUAAAUUGUCCAGCUUGAUAUAAAAAGUCUGAAUGUCUCUUGCUCCUCCUCUCUUCUCCAAAUCCCUCGACUUCCAAUUAAUACAUCGCUGGAUUGAUCGAUUGCUCGACUCGAUUGGAGCGUCACAACCAGGCCCAGGCACACCUAGCUCACCAAGCGCUGCCGAUGGAUUUCGCUGCGUGCAAUACAAUUGGUACGGGUAUGACAACAGUUGCCAUCGAUGCCCGUGAGGGUGGCGCGCAGCCGCUGCUGAAGAAUCGCCAAAGUUCGCUAGCCUGGUACCUCGAAGAACCACGGGAGCGCAUCUCGAAUCAUGAAAAGUUGGGCUGACAGCGUGGAUGAGAUAUAUUGAAUAAGAGUGAACGAAAACGUUUUGGAGUCC